AUUGAACGCUGGCGGCAGGCCUAACACAUGCAAGUCGAACGAGUGGCGGACGGGUGAGUAAUGUCUGGGAAACUGCCCGAUGGAGGGGGAUAACUACUGGAAACAGUAGCUAAUACCGCAUACCAUCGGAUGUGCACAGAUGGGAUUAGCGAGUAGGUGGGGUAACGGCUCACCUAGGCGACGAUCCCUAGCUGGUCUGAGAGGAUGACAAGUCACACUGGAACGGAGACACGGUCCAGAUGCCUACGGGAGGCAGCAGUGGGGAAUAUUGCACAAUGGGCGCAAGCCUGAUGCAGCCAUGCCGCGUGUAGGAAGAAGGCCUUCGGGGUGUAAAGUACUUUCAGCGAGGAGGCGUUACUCGCAGAAGAAGCACCGGCUAACUCCGUGCCAGCAGCCGCGGUAAUUC
rnacentral:rRNA from 1 species